rnacentral:tRNA from 1 species
AAAGAAAAUUAAAAAUUGAAGCUGCUAACUUUAAUUUGGGGUUAUUACUCCUUUCUUUU